rnacentral:rRNA from 1 species
GGAAUAAUGGAACAGGACCUUGGUUCUAUUUUGUUGGUUUUAGGAAUCCAAGGUAAUGAUCAAUAAGGACAGGCGGGGGCAUUCGUAUUGCGACGUUAGAGGUGAAAUUCUUGGAUCGUCGCAAGACGCACUAGAGCGAAAGCAUUUGCCAAGUAUGUCUUAAUUGAUCAAGAACGAAAGUUAGAGGUUCGAAGGCGAUCAGAUACCGCCCUAGUUCUAACCAUAAACGAUGCCAGCCAGCGAUCCGCCGAUGUUCCUCCGAUGACUCGGCGGGGAGCUUUCCCCGGGAAACCAAAGCUUUUGGGUUCCGGGGGAAGUAUGGUUGCAAAGCUGAAACUUAAAGGAAUUGACGGAAGGGCACUACCAGGAGUGGAGCCUGCGGCUUAAUUUGACUCAACACGGGAAACUUCACCAGGCCCGGACAUUGGAAGGAUUGACAGAUCGAUAGCUCUUUCUCGAUUCAGUGGGUAGUGGUGCAUGGCCGUUCUUAGUUGGUGGACUGAUUUGUCUGGUUAAUUCCGAUAACGAACGAGACUCUAACCUAUUAACUAGGCGUUGCCGGUAUAAACAGCUACCGGCGAGAUUUAUUCUUCUUAAGGGGACAGGCGGCUCUCAGCCGCACGAGAUAGAGCAAUA